rnacentral:rRNA from 1 species
UACGUAGGGGGCAAGCGUUGUCCGGAAUCAUUGGGCGUAAAGAGCGUGUAGGCGGCCUGAUAAGUCGGCUGUGAAAGUCAAGGGCUCAACCCUUGAAUGCCGGCCGAUACUGUCAGGCUAGAGUCCGGAAGAGGCGAGUGGAAUUCCUGGUGUAGCGGUGAAAUGCGCAGAUAUCAGGAGGAACACCUAUGGCGAAGGCAGCUCGCUGGGACGGUACUGACGCUGAGGCGCGAAAGCCAGGGGAGCGAACGGG